ensembl:lncRNA
ACUGCGGACAGACGGCCUGGGGGGAAUCACAGUGUCGUCCCGAAAGGCUGAGUUUUGCCUGGCUAAUAAUGACGGGGAGCUAGAGAAGAGGGUGAGUGACUUCGGGGCAGCGUCAUUCACCAGUUCUUCCAGGUACUUCAUUUGAUGUUGCCAGUAAAGAGGGAGACUUGCAAUUCGUGGCAGAAACUAGAGAGAGCCCAUUUUCUGACAUAAGCUUAGAAGGAAACUCCUUUGGUGCUGUAAACACAACUGAAAUCCUUUACGUAGCCAAAAAUUUAAGAGAAAAAUCAUUCUCUUAAGACCUGAUAGAGGAAACUUCUGGCAUCCUUGUGUCUCAACUCAGCUUUUCUCUUUCCCAUUUAAAAAUUUAGGAGAGGAGAGAUGUAUGCUAGCAGUGAUAAAAAAAAAAAAAAAUAAAUAAAAAAUCAACAGCCCCAUUAAGAACACCUGCAUAACGUUUGAAACAGACUAUUAGGGUUUCUUCCAAACACGCACGUAAGCUUUGUCCAACAGGAGCUGACUCAGAUACAGUGCACAGUUUACUCACUGCUCCCAGCUGGCUCUUGGCAGACCUUGUCUUGGUUUCAGCACAACUCUUGGAAGACACUGAUACCAAAAUUUGCUACUGGUUCACCUCCCGGAAAGAGGUAGCCAGCUUUUCUGCACUGCUCACAUAGAAGAUGUGUGCUCUGGACUUCUCAUUUGGACUUAAAUAUUGCAUUAAAAGAAAUCAUCAAAAGAAAUCCCUAAAACCUUCAGACUCAUUAUGUGAGGGUGUGUGUUUUUAUUAAGGGUAUGUUAAACUACCCUGUUACUAUUCAAGGAACAACCAAGAUGACAUCUCUUUAAGCUACAUCGAUUCAAACUCUCACAGACCGACACAUAGCACGCAGAGUGCAAAUUAAUAUGGUGAAGGAUGGUGCACACUUAAACCACACUUUGAAACAACACACUGCUCCAGAAGAUGAUCUGCUGAGAACAUUCUCAUCUCGCUUAACUGAAAUUAAUCAAAAUUAAACAAAUUCUC